UUCAAAUAAUAAUAAUAAUAAUAAUAAUAAUAAUAAUAAUAAAGCAUAGAAUAAGAAUGAAUUGAGCAAUGACACGUGGCUCACAAUAAGAGACUAAGUGACUAAAGAUAGCUAUACAAGUCAAAAAAAUUCAAAGUCAUCAGCCAAGUAAGUGGAACUCAAGAGUAUAUACAGGCCCGGCCCAAGUAAGGGACUAAACUUUCAUAAAAGAAAGAGUAAGGGACUAAACUUUCGGCAAAAAAUGAGUAAGGGACUAAACAGUAUUUUAGAUAUGAGAAAUUAGAAUUCAAUUAGCAGAGGGCUCUAACACAAGUUUGAUCACAUCCCAUUUGAUCACAUCCCACAAGUGUACCUGAAAAGAUAGUAAAUGCAUGUUUACUAGACGAAAAUUACUCAAAAAUAAAUAUGAAAAAGUAAAACAUAAUAAACACGCAUUGCAUGUAUAUUCAUUCACGAGGAAGAGUAUCAUAAUUUAAUUAAGCUAACUUCACGAAUCUAAUAGUAGAGGACGAAUAUAACUGCAAAUUAUAUCAUGUAAAUCAUGUCGGUAUACCUAACAAACAUUCUUGACAAAACAUGUUUGAAAUUUUCAAGAGGGUCAUAUUUUUAGCACAGCCAAUGAGAAUACCUAAAUUUAAGCAAGGCAAAUUCAAGUAUCCAAAUGCCAUAUGGCCAAAUAAACGAGUGUCUCACUUUGGGUAACAAAAACGACAUCUGAUUUCGGGAUUUCUGACAUUAGCAAAAACAAGUUUACUAUUAUUCUAUCAGCAAACUUUUAAUUUCUAAAUAUACAUAAUCAGCUUUCUUCGACCAAAUUUUUAUUUCCUGAUCAGCAAUAAAAGUUGACAACAAUCCCUAAAAGGGCAAACAAAACAAGUUCUUCCCAAUAUAAACUCAAUUAUAAUACUAGGAACAGCAGUACUUAAAAUCCUACUGAAAUUCUAAUAAAUAAACAAUAAAAACCUACUGAAUUUAAACUUUUAAUUCAAUAAUUUAAACUUCUACAGACCAGGCCUUGGGUAAUUCGAUGAUCCUUACUUAGCCACACGUGGUAGUAGAAUUUUUUAAACAAUUGUAAAUAAUGUGAAGUAAUAAUGAUUUGGGCUGCAUGUAAUCUAGAGGGAUGCUUUUACAUGUUUGACAAACACUAUUUUCAAGAAUAUGGAAACUGGAGAUAUUGUGGACAAGUUUACAAGUGUAUUGAUUACGGUAAUCUUAUACUUAAUCUAAAUUUUUGAUAGUCUAUGAGUGUCGAUUAAGUUCAGCAUU
rnacentral:lncRNA from 1 species